AACGAACGCUGGCGGCAGGCUUAACACAUGCAAGUCGAGCGCCCCGCAAGGGGAGCGGCAGACGGGUGAGUAACGCGUGGGAAUCUACCCAUCUCUACGGAAUAACGCAUGGAAACGUGUGCUAAUACCGUAUACGUCCUUCGGGAGAAAGAUUUAUCGGAGAUGGAUGAGCCCGCGUUGGAUUAGCUAGUUGGUGGGGGAAAGGCCUACCAAGGCGACGAUCCAUAGCUGGUCUGAGAGGAUGAUCAGCCACACUGGGACUGAGACACGGCCCAGACUCCUACGGGGGGCAGCAGUGGGGAAUAUUGGACAAUGGUCGCAAGCCUGAUCCAGCCAUGCCGCGUGAGUGAUGAAGGCCCUAGGGUUGUAAAGCUCUUUCACCGGUGAAGAUAAUGACGGUAACCGGAGAAGAAGCCCCGGCUAACUUCGUGCCAGCCGCCGCCGUAACAC
rnacentral:rRNA from 1 species